GUAUUGAUGAAGAGUCCCAAACUGGGACGGAACAGCUGUCCAGUAC
rnacentral:hammerhead_ribozyme from 1 species